GUGAAUAAACAAGAUGAACUAUAUAUCAUCUUCACGAAAAAAGAAAAAAAAAAGAAUUAGAAUAAAAAUAUGUAAAAUUUUAUUAGAUAUUUUUAAGGCCUCUUUAGAGGUUUGACUUUAGACCACCGAUUUCGUUGAGUCGCCCCCUGUUCUCUCUACACUUCCUCUCCUUGUUUCUUUAUUUCCCCAAAUAUUCAUUCUUGCUUUUUUGGAUAUAGAGUAAGACUAUACUAAUGUUUGGGUAAAAAUAUUUUCAUUCACUUAUUAGUUUACAAUAUGUAUUACUAAUGUAGCGUUUUAGUCCUUAAACCCAGGUUCACCAUGGCCCUCGCCGACCUUAUAGCUAAUUCAAUUCUCUCCCUACACUUUCUGCUAAUCAUCAUUUAACCCUACUGCUUCUCCACUAGUGUGCCUUUCUAUUUUGCUUCUGCACUUGUUUCAAACAAAACUCCUUUUCUCUUCUCUAAUUAUCUGAUAAUUUAAGUUUCUGUGGAGAAACCCACCAAAUAACGAAUAAAUUGACUAGGACAACUCUACUAGAGAUCUUCUGAAGCCCUUUACAAAUAAAAAAAAAAGGAAAAAACAAGGAGAGAAAGCGUAGAGAGAACAGGAAAAAAUGAGUUUUAGGUGAAGGGUUGAUCGGUGGGUGUUGGGAUAUUAAGAUAUGAUUUAUUUUAUUUUAUUUGUGAUGUUCAUGUCUACAUGGCAUUAAAAAAUUAAUUAAUAUUGUCAUGUCAGAUUUUUUGGUUAACUCAUCUAGUUGAAUGAUUUUAUGAAAGUAAGUCCAAUAUUGAGUGAUUUUAUUAAUAUAUAGCAAAAUUUAAUAAUUUUACUGUAUAAUUUUUUAAAAUUGAGUGAUCUUUUGAGAUAUUUACUCUGUUUAUUGGUCAACUGACCCGUUGGAAAGAAGUGAACAUGUGAACGUUAUAAAAUAUAGCACGCCAUCGUAAGUCUAAAAAAAUGCUAACCACAUGGUCCUCAACUCUCUUUAGAUACAAAUAAUAAUCAUCAAAAAUUGGUCUUCUAUAAACCUCAAUUGAGCCUUGUAGCCAAAAAAAAAAAAAAAAAAAAAAACUGGAAGAAACAGAUGGCUGAAGAAAUGAAGAACGAGAUUCAAGAUCUAUCAACUAAACCCAUCACUACUCCAAGUGAAGAGCCUGCUAAAGAAUCAGAGAAUGCACAAGAAGUAGUAGAGAAAGAUGAGGCAGGAAAAGCAGAAGAUGAGGGGUUGGUGCACGUAGUUGCAAAAGCAAAAAUGCCAACACCUCCUGGCAAACGACCUGGUCCUACCACUGGUUGAAAUAAAUAUAAAUAUUAAUACAAUAAGCUUUGGAAAUUCCAAUAUUGUUGUUCAUGUAUUGGUUCCUUUUUAGUUUCUUUGUGUGUGUUUGUUGAUCUUACUUUUAGUUUGAGUUUAUUUUAACAAUAUGAUGGAGGAAAAACAUGUGAUAAUACAAUUUGGGUGUUUAAGCA